rnacentral:rRNA from 14 species
UAAAAGGAUGCCUAAACAUCAAAAUAAAAACGGACGUUUGAAAACGAAAAAUUUAUGGCGAGUAGUAAUUAAAAUGCUGUAUGAAUCAUAAAUAUCCGUAAUCGGUAAACCGAGCUUAAGUUAAAUUAAGCAUAUUUAAAAUAUAAUUAUUGUGUUUUAAAUAAUUUUAAAUUAGUGAAUUGAAUCAUCUUAGUAACUAAUAAUAAAAAUCAACCGAGAUACCGUGAGUAGUGGCGAGCGAAAAUGGUAAAAGACUCUUUAAUUUUUUUAAUUUGGUUUAAUAAGUAUUAGCCAGAGAAGGAAUCAUACAAUAAAUGUAGCCCUGUAAAAUUAAAAAUUAAAAAAAAUUUGUAAAGUAGAAUGAUACAAGUCAUGUAUUGUUUGAAUUAUGGGGGACCACCCUCAAAGUCUAAUAAGUUUUGAUGAUUGAUAGUGAAUAAGUACCGUAAGGGAAAGGUGAAAAAGAAUUUGUGAAUUUUAAAAGAACCUGAAAUUUAAUGCUGACAAUCAGUUGGAGCUUAUUAAAAAGUGACUGCGUGCCUUUUGCAUAAGGAAUCAACAAGUUUAUUUUAGUGGCAAGCUUAAGCUGAUUAAAGUGUAGGCUAAAAAAAAUUAAGUUUUAAAAUGCUUUGAAGUCUCUAAAAUAAGACCCGAAACUAAGUGAUCUAACCAUGAACAGGUUGAAUUUAAUGCGGUAACGCUUAUUGGAGGACCGAACUCGUGUAUGUAGAAAAAUACUGAGAUGAUUUGUGGUUAGGGGUGAAAGGCUAAUCAAACUUAGAGAUAGCUGGUUUUCUGCGAAAUCUAUUUAAGUAGAGCGUUUAAAAUUUAAAACUUUAUUUGAAGGUAGAGCACUCAAUAAGUAAGGGGGACGUAAAGUUUUACUAAACUUAAUGAAACUCCGAAUAUCAUAUAAAAGAAUUUAAACAGACAGACUAUAAGUGCUAAGAUUUAUAGUCAAAAGGGAAACAGCCCAGAUUAUUAAUUAAGGCCCUUAAAAAUAAUUAAGUGAUUAAGAUAGUGAAAAAUUUAACACAGUCGGUAGGUAGGCUUGGAAGCAGCCACCCUUUAAAGAAAGCGUAACAGCUCACUGAUCUAGCUUUUUUGCAUCGAAAAUGUAUAUGGACUAAAAUUAUUUGCCGAAAUUAUAAACUUAAAUUUUUUGAAAUUUAAGUGGUAGCAGAACGUUCUGUAAAUCUAAGAAGAUCUAUAUUAAUAUGGGUUGGAGAAAUCAGAAGUGAGAAUGUUGAUAUGAGUAGCGAUAAACAAUGUGCAAAACAUUGUCGCCUUAAGUUCAAGGUUUCCAAAGAAAGGCUAAUCCACUUUGGGUAAAUCGGACCCUAAGAAAUAAACGAAAGUUUUAAACUUUGAUGGGAAAAAAGAAGUUUCUUUUAUUUACAAAAAGUGACGAAAUAAUUGAUAUUAUUUUUAUUAAGUGAUUUAUAUAAAAGUUUUGAAAUAUUUCCAGGAAAUAGCUUUUUGUCAGUAUAUUAAAAUUAUUUUUAAUAAAAAACCGUACUGUAAACCGACACAGGUGAACUGAUUUAGUAAAUUAAGGCGAUUGAGAUAAUUGUGUUGAAGGAACUCGGCAAAAUGGCUCUGUAACUUAGGGAGAAGGAGUAACUAUUUUAGGGCAACCUAAAAGAGUUGACACAAAAUCGGGGACAGCGACUGUUUAAUAAAAACACAGGUCUCUGCAAAUUCGUAAGAAGAAGUAUAGAAACUGACGCCUGCCCAGUGCUGCAAGAUUAAAGGUAAAAGUUUUGGCUUAUACCCUAAACCCCAGUAAACGGCGGCUGUAACUCUGACGGUCCAAAGGUAGCGAAAUUCCUUGGCAUUUAAUUGGUGUCCUGCAUGAAUGGCGUAACGACUGUCCCACUGUCUCCAACACAAGCUCAGUGAAAUUGAAAUCUCUGUGAAGAUGCAGAGUACAUGCGGCUAGACGGAAAGACCCCGUGCACCUUUACUAUAGUUAUAUAUUGUAAUAAAAACUUUUAUGUGUAGGAUAUGUGGGAAGUUUUAGAUUUUUACGCAAGUAAAUUGUUUUUAACUUUAGUGAAAUACCACUCUUAAAAUUUUUUAUUACUCAUUAAUUUAAAAACAGUGUAUAAUGGGUAGUUUGACUGGGGCGGUCACCUCCUAAAGAGUAACGGAGGUGUACAAAGGUAAGUUCAAAUUGGUAAAAUCAAUUUAAGAGCGCAAUAGUAAAUUGCUUGCCUGACUGUAAGAUUGACAAAUCGAGCAGGGACGAAAGUCGGUUAUAGUGAUCCGGUGAUUCUGUGUGGAAAAGGUCAUCGCUCAACGGAUAAAAGGUACGCCGGGGAUAACAGGCUAAUCACCCUCUAGAGACCCUAUCGACGGGGUGGUUUGGCACCUCGAUGUUGGAUUAUCGCAUCCUGGAACUGUAGAUGGUUCCAAGGGUUUGGCUGUUCGCCAAGGAAAGCGGUACAUGAUCUGAGUUUAGAACGUCGUGAGACAGUUUGGUCCCUAUCUACCGUAUGCGUAAGAAAAUUGAAAAGACUAAACUCUAGUACGAGAGGACCGAGAAAAGUGAAUCUCUGGUAAAUCGGUUGUUAUCUAGUAGUAGCAAUGCCGAGUAGCUAUAUUCAUAAUAGAUAAUCGCUGAAAGCAUCUAAGCGAGAAACUAACUUUAAGAUUAAUUUUCUUAUAGACGUAAUAAAUUAUUACGAAAAAUAGGCUUAGUGUGUAAGAAUUGUAAAAUUUUAAGCUAACAAGUACUAAUAC